rnacentral:rRNA from 1 species
AUUGAACGCUGGCGGCAUGCUUUACACAUGCAAGUCGAACGGCAGCGCGGGGCAACCUGGCGGCGAGUGGCGAACGGGUGAGUAAUACAUCGGAACGUACCCAGAAGUGGGGGAUAACGUAGCGAAAGUUACGCUAAUACCGCAUACGUUCUACGGAAGAAAGUGGGGGAUCUUCGGACCUCAUGCUUUUGGAGCGGCCGAUGUCUGAUUAGCUAGUUGGUGAGGUAAUGGCUCACCAAGGCGACGAUCAGUAGCUGGUCUGAGAGGACGACCAGCCACACUGGGACUGAGACACGGCCCAGACUCCUACGGGAGGCAGCAGUGGGGAAUUUUGGACAAUGGGCGCAAGCCUGAUCCAGCAAUGCCGCGUGAGUGAAGAAGGCCUUCGGGUUGUAAAGCUCUUUUGUCAGGGAAGAAACGGCUGAGGAUAAUACCUUUGGCUAAUGACGGUA